rnacentral:lncRNA from 1 species
CGGUCAUAGGUUACUCGAGAGGGACAUCGUGAUAACCGGACAGACUGGUGUGCUGUAUACCCAUCCAUAUGAUGGAUGCAGCUGGUCUCAUAGCUGCUCGUGUAGGGACACUAGGGAUAUAGUACAGGUGCUCAUUAGAGAAUGAGUUCACUGAUUGAUCCGCUUACGGAAUGCUGGAUGGUUGAUGAUGCCUUAUUGUCAGACAGCGAUUCCAUAGUCCUA